AUGAUACGAGUACGAGAUUAUGAACUCAUAUCACUAAAAAGUAUAUUAAGAUUCAACGAGAUGUGUAUCAAACAUACCAACAAGCAGUGGCGGAUCUAAGAAUUAUUUUAAUCCCGCGCACAAUAUAAUUAAAAAUAAAAUUAAAUAAAAA
rnacentral:sRNA from 1 species